ACAUCUGUCUCGUGAACUUAGUGGAAAUCGGUCAGAAGAAGAGCACAAAGUAGGAACAGGCCCUGAUAAGCCACGUCAGAUAAGAUCAUACGAAAUAGUACAUAGGUCUUGGCGAAGCACGAUUCACAUUUUAGAUCGGAGAAAAUGAUGCUGAAGGUUUGUUUAUACCUCUCCUGUGUUUCUUUGGCGUUGGCUGCAACGACAAUGCACCCACAUAAUCAUCAUUCCACACAGGAACGCACCCCACGCAUGAGCCAUCAGUAUUCGAGUCCUUCUCUUUCUACUAUGAUUAUCAUACGCAUAUCCUGCUAGUCAGAGCAUCCAAACAUAAGUGCUACAUCUAUCAGACGAGCGCACAGCAACAGCUAGAUGUUCAUUCAUCACAUGGACUCCAUACGAUUGAGAAAAAUGUAAUUGACAUCAUCGACUCCAACGCCCCUAUGACGACUCUCACACAGGAUGAUUUGGUUGCCAUGAGUACCAUACUGGGGAAAAAGUGUGUGCAUAAUGCAAUUUAUCAGAUCAACUAGGUUGUCCCGAAUUAAAGGCAUCCAUUACACUGACGUGUUAGAAAUAGUUGUGGAAUAAAAAGGCGCGAUGUU